rnacentral:tRNA from 1 species
GCCGGGGUGGCGGAACUGGUAGACGCGCUAGACUCAAAAUCUAGUGAGGGUGACCUCGUGUCGGUUCGAGUCCGACCCUCGGUACCA